rnacentral:siRNA from 1 species
UCAAUGUCCAGGUAGCUAAUUC